rnacentral:lncRNA from 1 species
GGGUCAAAUCAGAGCUGCAGCUGUGGACUACACCACAGGCACAGCAACACCAGAUCCAAGCCACAUCUGUGACUUAUGCUGCAGCCUCUGGCAAUGUCAGAUCCUUAACCCACUGAGUGACGCCAGGGAUCAAAUGCACAUCCUCACGGACACUAUGUCAGGUUCUUAACCUGCUGAGCCACAACGGGAACUCCAAAUCUUUUCUUCUAAUGCACACCUUGUUUUUACUUCAGGGAAGCAUUUCACAGCCAUUGGAAAAAGUGACUAUCUGGACGGAGAUUGAGUAAAUGAUAGAGACUUAAAAUACAUGUUGAUACUUAUAUUUAUUGAUUACACAUAUCUGGUAUUUUCACUGUACUUCCUUCCUUAUGAAAAACAUUUGAUCUGAUACGCCUUUCAUGUACUGGAUAUUUAUGGGCAUUGUUAAUUCUUACCUUCAUCAUAUACAACGUAUAAUGCACAACCGUCAUUUACAAACAAAAAUAAGGCUUUCAUAAGUGUAUUAACCUGUCCAAGUAGCAUGCCUCAGAAGGAAUUUGGAAUUUAAAUACAAAUCUGUCUACCAUGCAUAUACCGUUCUUUAUGGUUUAUUUAAUCUCCAUAAGGAAUAAAAUGCUUAUCCAUCGGAGGAAAUAGAGGAAUCUAAAAUGAUUCCAGAUAAGAAUUAGACAAACUGUAGGCAGAAAUGAAAGGAAAACAAGUAAGAUCAGAAACUGGUUAUUUGCAGUAUUUGGAAAAGCCACAUGCUUUUGAAACUAAACAGCAGGAGAUGUAGCCCUUAGCCAGCCACUGGGCCAAAUACAUGCAAAUAACCACACGUUCCCCGUCAUGAGAGGGAGAGACAUGCUUAACCAGACCUAAGAACUAAUUCCCUAAGAGAACCUGGUUUUGGCUCCUGGUUUACGGAACUGAUGGGGCAGCGAAGGAUCCAAAGCCUACCCACCCCCUGAGGUCAGGUCAGCAUCUCCGGGCAGAACCUCAACACCUUCCAAGUUGCGCCAUGUAAGAAACUAAACUAACAAAGCCCCAACUGAACAUGCCUCUGGUUUUUCAAGUCUUCAACCAUGUCCUCUCAGACUUGCUAGGCUGUUAGUUUUCUGCAUCCGUCUGUCAUGACAAAUUGCCACAAACAGGGAGGUUAGAAAAAACAGAAAUCCAUCUUCACAGACCUUGCGGCCAGAAGUCCAAAUUUACAGCAUGGGCAGGACACGCUUCCUCCGAAGGCUCCAGAAGAAUCCUUCCCCACCUCCCCUGGCUCCAGUAGCCCCGAGGUCCUUGCCCAGUGGCUCCAUAACCCCGGCACCACCACCAGGCAACCACUUCAUGUGCACUUCUCCGCAGGUCUGUGUCCAAGGGCUCCUUUUCUGUCCCUGUACUUGUCAUGGGAUUGGGGGUCCACUCAGAUAAUCCAGGAUGGCCUCAUGUUGAGAUCCUUAAUCACACCUGCACAACCCACUCCCCAGGUUAGGCCACCUUCACAGGCCACAGAACGUGGGCGUGACUUUGUGGCCGCCAUGCAAAGCCCGCUCAGGAUGUGGCUGUUAGGCACACACAGGCCUGGAGGGACCACACCACCCACUGCAGAUGGCGGGCAGUGAGGAUCUGAGGCUGAGCGGGGCCCUGGAGCCCAGCAGCAGGGUCCGCUUGGAGACAGACAGGCAGGCCAGCCCUGCAAAGACACCACGGGCAGGACACACCUGUAACUCCUGACCUGCAGGAUUUCAUAGGCGCUGGGAGGCCCUGAUGACUUCUUGGUGCUGUCUGUUCUUUCUGGUUCUUGAUGGGAGUUCCCUCCACCAGGAACGCCUGGGGGCCGCCCACCCCUGGCUGAUCCGUGUUAAGGGAGAAGGAGAGGAGGCAGGGAAGCUCAUUUAAUUUACAAAUGGUCGUUCCAGAGGGAACCACAUUCAGACUGGGUGACAAGGACCACGUGUCACACAUGCUCUGGAUUUGGCAAUGGCGCGUGGGCUGCCUCUUGAAGGAAGGGGUGAGUGUGACCUGUGGUGUGAGUCGUAGCCUGUAUGGGAUCUGGGCCACAUGGAAACACAGGCAUCAGCCGUUUCCAACUAGAUGUGGUCACGCAAGCCCUCCAGACCACUGCGCGGUGAGCAGGUACGACCCAACGCUGUCUACACGGUUUGUCUACACGGUGUCCUGAACUCAGCCUGCUGGGCUUUUCUCCCUUGUCACUGGCUGGGGUGCUCAGAAAGGCCUUAAAGGACACAUUCCAGAGACAAGACUCGGUCAGCCGAGGUCUCUGAAUGUCUUUGCGAGACAGAUACUUCUGAGCUGCUCAAGGCUGUAAGGUGAUGGGUAAGGCUCAUCACCAGUUCUUACAAAAGUGAGCAAUAAAGUGCUUUAUCCUUUCAGUCUCAUCAUUCUGAGGCCUCUUACUAUGGGAACCAUACCUUCCACCCUGACUAAUACUCAUCACGAGAAAGUUGUGUUCACACAGACUAAAAUCACUUUUCAUUUUUCAUCAAUUACUAUUCCAAGACGAGGCAUCAGGCCUUGUGGCAGGAAAGCCAAGCAGACAGAGCCCUGUGGUUAUCAGAGCAGGUUCUGCUUCCUCGGUGCAGCAUGGUGUUCUGACCCUGGGAUUAUGCUGCUCCUCCUUCUGAAGAGGACAUUCAGUAGAUAGGGGUCCACAGAGCUGCACAAAGAGUCACUGCCUCUGUCUCUUCAUACUGACACCCACAAUGUGUCCAUCUCAUUAACAGCCCUGGGGAUGCCCCACCCAUGACCUCAUGGCCCAGGGUGUGAGAAAACGAUGCUAAAUGAGUCCAAGACUGUGUGAUGCCUCUAGAAAAUGAGUGUCUAUAUUAGUUUGACCUUCAUUCUCUCAAGAAAUGUCCUGUUUGAACUAGAGUAGAGACAAAUAUGGGAUUGAAAAUGGAUCAGUAAAAAUAUAGCUCCACUGGCACUAAAAACAAAAAACUUGUUUUUAGUACAUUUGCCAGAUUCAUUAUUUUGGCACACGCUUCAUUAUUUUAUCCCUCACAUCCAUCUUGGUGACUGAGGUUUACUGAACAUUUAUUUCAUCCAAUUUUGUAACAGUUUUGCAACAUGUAUAUAUGAUUUUUUUUCUCUCAUCCACUGGCCCAAUGAAUUUCUGUUCUCUUCUUCCAAAUAACCCAGAAUUCUUCAUUAAAUAUUUUAACAUUAUCAGAAUUCCCUGUUCCCUUUUCACACAUAUGCACACAUAUGCACACACACAUUUUAGGCUGAUUCAUAAUUUAGGAUAAUUUGUAAUCCUCCCAGAGGCUCCAGUGACUCACCUAGCACUGAAAACUAAAUUAAAAAACAUGAAAUUAUUCCCUCCUCGGUUAUCAUGAAUUUCACCAAGAUGAGAAGACUUCUUAGAAUAUUUUUACAAGUGGAGAUAAAUGAAGUAUCUGAACCACUUAUGAAUAAACUAUAAACAUGAUCCCUAGAAAUACGUGACUUGAAGCACUGGCUGCACCACUUGUCAGCUCUCCGUUUGUCUAAGUCACCUACACUCUCCUUAGUGAAACCCUCCACUCCCAAACCAGGUGCACAAUUGUUUCUCACUUCCCUCGCAUGUGAAUGUCAAAGACAGCUGAGUAAGUGACCUGUCAUAGUGUGACAGGUGGUGGCUACUGGCAACGGCAGUUGGAGCCACAAUGACCAUAGCAGUCACAGGAGCAGUCGUGGAUUUGUUCAUUCUCAAGUCCAGAUGAGCACCGAGGAGAGACCAGCCUGGUGGUCAAUAAGGACAUGAUGCUGAAUAGAGCUCCCCAAGGGGAAGGAAGCAGGUAAGGAGCAGGGGAGGGUGAUGAGAGGCUGAACCUGGACAUUUCCCACGUCCACCAGGAAAGCAGAGGAAGAGGACCCAGCCUCAGAAAAGCUGAGAAGAAGACGGGGUGGGGGCUCAGAGGAAAGGAAUCGUGAACCUGCCAAAGCAUCAGUAACUGGAACACUGCAGAAGUGUGAUAAGGACUGAAAAACUGAGUGUCUUCCAAGUAGUGAGGGUGAAACCCAGAUGAUGACGAGCUUAAAAAAGACCUAAAAUGAAGGCAUUAAAAAUAAGAGCUCUCGAGAUGUUUUAGGGUAAAAGGAAAGAGGACACAAGAAAAGUCAGGACUGGGAGGUGUAGAGACGAGCUUUUUCAUGAAUAAAGUUUUACUGAAACCCAUGCCUAUUUGUUCACGCCUGUGGACGGGUCCUCCUGACUGUCUUGGGGGGGCUGGGAGUGGGCAGAGCUGCGACAUGGUGACAAAGACCACCUGACCCACAAAGCCUAAACCACUAACCACCUGGCUUCUUACAGACCUUUGCUCCCAGUGGUCCUGGAAAUACUGCCUUUGGAACUCAUGCUGGAAACAUGCUCUUCCUUGAUUGUAUAUAUUUUAAGAUCAAAUAUUUGUGCAGAUUUGUCACCUUAUUUAUGUAGAUAUUACCUCCCCCUUCUUGAUUCACUGGCUUCUAAAUCUGUAAAGCACACACUCUGCAUCCUGACAACUUGCUUUUAGUGUCUCACAAAACAGAAACAACAGCAACCAAUGUCAUUCCCUCGACUAUAUAAAACUCAAUGAAAUUUGAAAAUGAAAGAAUUUUCAUCAAAACAUACUUAAAAAAACAACCUCACAAAAGUAAAAUGGCUUCCCUUAUUUCAUACCAUUUGAAGUUUCUUUUUAGAGUAAAUGAAUGAGUUGAAUUCGUGUGCAAGGAGUCACAAUGGUAAGUAUAUUUAAUUGUUUCUAUAUUAUUUUUACUAUUAUGAAUCAUUCAAUAAAUUAUCAUUCAAACAAGUAUGGAAUUAUUUUAAAGCAUUUUUCGCAUAGAUGUGUUUAGCGUGAUGAGCACAGAUCCUGACAAACUUGGUUCCGUAAACACCAUCUUGGUGCGUCCUGGUUUCUAUGGCACCCAAUAAAAACACAGGUCAAAUUCCACUU